rnacentral:rRNA from 1 species
UACGGGGGGGGGCAAGCGUUGUUCGGAAUUUCUGGGCGUAAAGGGCUCGUAGGCGGCCAACUAAGUCAGACGUGAAAUCCCUCGGCUUAACCGGGGAACUGCAUCUGAUACUGGAUGGCUUGAGUUCGGGAGAGGGAUGUGGAAUUCCAGGUGUAGCGGUGAAAUGCGUAGAUAUCUGGAGGAACACCGGUGGCGAAGGCGGCAUCCUGGACCGACACUGACGCUGAGGAGCGAAAGCCAGGGGAGCAAACGGG